CUGGAGAAUUGAGGGGGGCUGCUCCUAGUACGAGAGGACCGGAGUGGACGCAUCACUGGUGUUCGGGUUGUCAUGCCAAUGGCACUGCCCGGUAGCUACAUGCGGAAGAGAUAAGUGCUGAAAGCAUCUAAGCACGAAACUUGCCCCGAGAUGAGUUCUCCCUGAGACUUUAAGUCUCCUGAAGGAACGUUGAAGACGACGACGUUGAUAGGCCGGGUGUGUAAGCGCAGCGAUGCGUUGAGCUAACCGGUACUAAUGAGCCGUGAGGCUUAACCUUACAACGCCAGAGUGGUUU
rnacentral:rRNA from 1 species